rnacentral:rRNA from 1 species
UCGAGAAUCUUCGGCAAUGGACGAAAGUCUGACCGAGCGACGCCGCGUGGAGGAUGAAGGCCUUCGGGUUGUAAACUCCUGUUGGGAGGGAACAAAUUUUGAGUGACCUCCUGAGGAAGCACGGGCUAAGUUCGUGCCAGCAGCCGCGGUAAGACGAACCGUGCGAACGUUAUUCGGAAUCAUUGGGCUUAAAGGGCGCGUAGGCGGCGGCGUAAGUUGGAAGUGAAAUCCCAUCGGCUCAACCGUGGAAUCGCUCCCAGUACUGCGUCGCUCGAGGGGGAUAGGGGUCUGCGGAACUACCGGUGGAGCGGUGAAAUGUGUUGAUAUCGGUGGGAACGCCAGUGGCGAAAGCGGCAGACUGGACCCUUCCUGACGCUGAGGCGCGAAAGCUAGGGGAGCAAACGGGAUUAGAUACCCCCGUAGUCC